GGCUCAUUAAUAUAGUUGUAGCUUAUGCGAUGUUCUAUUGUUAGUCGGAUAACUUCGCUAACGCGAUGCUAAUACGUGCUUAAACUCUUCGGAGUUGCACUUGUUAGAUUAAAAUCGACCGAUUCCAUGCAAGUGGUUUUGUGCUGGUGAUUCAUAACAAUUUAGCGGACCGGAGUUUCGGCUCCGGCAGAUCGCCAAGGCUUCUAUCUUAUCAACUUUCGAUUGUUGUGUAUUGGACAACAAUGGUGAUGACGAGUAACGGGGAAUUAGGGUUUGGUUCCGGAGAGAAAGCUUGAGAAACGGCUUUCACUUCUAAGGAAGGCAGCAGGCGCGUAAAUUAUCCAAUGGACAUUGUCUGAGAUAGCGACGAAAUAUAUCAAGAUUUGACAAUUUGUCGAGUCAUUGAAAUGAAACGCAAUUAAAAUGCGCUAUAAAAGUCUAGUGGAGGGCAAGUCUGGUGCCAGCAGCCGCGGCAACACCAGCUCCACGAGUGUAUACUAAAGUUGUUGUUGUUAAAAAGCCCGUAGUCGAUUUUUGGGAUGUUAGAACUAGUCCUCCAGAAAUUCUGGUGCUGUACUGGUUCUCCAGUCCUUUUGUACUGUCGAUCUUUUCGUCCUUUACUGGAUGAUUGGUUUGAUUGUACCGUUUACCAUGAAGAAAUUGGAUUGUUCAAAAAAGGCUUAAUGCAAUUGUACAAUCAAGCGUGGAAUAACACUACAAGACUAGUGACUUGUUUUGUUGGUAUGAGUUGCGAGUAAUGAGAAAUAGGAACGGUUUGGGGCUGUUUGUACUGGAAUGUGAGCGGUGAAAUGUUUUGAUCAUUCCAUGACAAACUGAUGCGAAAGCGUUCAGCAAGGACGUUUUCAUUGAUCAGUGGGCGAAAGCUAGGAGAGAGAAGGCGAUCAGACACCACCGUAUUCCUAGCUAUAAACGAUGUCGACUGGGGAUUGGAUGACGUACUAUAUAUUACUCCUUCAGCACCCUAUGAGAAAUCAAAGUUUUUGGACUCAAGGGGGAGUAUGGUCACAAGGCUGAAACUUAAAGGAAUUGACGGAAGAGCACCACCAGGUGUGGAGCUUGCGGCUUAAUUUGACCCAACACGGGAAAGCUUACCAAGGCAAGACAAAAGAAUGAUUGACAGAUUAAUAGCUCUUUCUUGAUUUUUUGGAAGGUGGUGCAUGGCCGCUGUGAGUUCGUGGAGUGAUUUGUCUGCUUGAUUGCGAUAACGAGCGAGACCAUCAUUCUUAGUUUCCAUUUUCGAAUCCUUUAGGAUUUGAAUUGUGUAUCUAAGAAGACUUUUGUUGUAAGGCAAAGGAAGUGGAUGGCUAUAGCAGGUCUGUGAUGCCCUUAGAUGUCUUGGGCCGCACGCGCGCUACACUGGUUGAUACAAUGAGUUACUUUCGCUGAUGAGCGUGAGGAAUCUGUAAAAAUCAACCGUGACUGGAAUUGAUGCUUGUAAUUAUUCAUCAUGAACUAGGAAUACCUUGUAAAUUCACUUCAUUAGAGUGAGUUGAAUAUGUCCCUGCUUUUUGUACACACCGCCCGUCGCUCCUACCGAUCGGACGUAUUGGCGAGUUUUUUGGACGUUUUUGUUGUAA
rnacentral:rRNA from 1 species